AUUGAACGCUGGCGGCAGGCCUAACACAUGCAAGUCGAGCGGAUGAAGGGAGCUUGCUCCUGGAUUCAGCGGCGGACGGGUGAGUAAUGCCUAGGAAUCUGCCUGGUAGUGGGGGAUAACGUCCGGAAACGGGCGCUAAUACCGCAUACGUCCUGAGGGAGAAAGUGGGGGAUCUUCGGACCUCACGCUAUCAGAUGAGCCUAGGUCGGAUUAGCUAGUUGGUGGGGUAAAGGCCUACCAAGGCGACGAUCCGUAACUGGUCUGAGAGGAUGAUCAGUCACAUUGGAACUGAGACACGGCCCAGCCUCCUAGGGGGGGCAGCAGUGGGGAAUUUGGGCAAAGGGGCGAAAGCCUGAUCCAGCCAGGCCGGGGGGGGGAAGAAGGUCUUCGGAUUUUAAAGCAUUUUAAGUUGGGAGGAAGGGCAGUAAGUUAAUACCUUGCUGUUUUGGCUUUACCAACAAAAAAAGCCCCGGCUAACUUCGG
rnacentral:rRNA from 1 species